rnacentral:misc_RNA from 1 species
GAUGAAGAACGUAGCGAAAUGCGAUAAGUAAUGUGAAUUGCAGAAUUCGGUGAAUCAUCGAAUCUUUGAACGCACCUUGCGCUCUUUGGUAUUCCGAAGAGCAUGCCUGUUUGAGUGUCAUGAAAAUAUCAACCUUGACUUGGGUUUUGUGCUCUAGUCUCGGCUUGGAAUUGGGUGCUUGCCGCUUUUACGAGCGGCUCACCUUAAAUGUAUUAGCUGGAUCUGUCUUUGAGACUUGGUUUGACUUGGCGUAAUAAGUAUUUCGCUAAGGACAUUCUUCGGAGUGGCCUCGUUUCUAGGACGCUUGUCCGCUUUCCAAUACAAGUUCCACCUCGUGGACAUGACUUUUUAUUAUCUGGCCUCAAAUCAGGUAGGACUACCCGCUGAACUUAAGCAUAUCAAUAAGCGGAGGA